rnacentral:rRNA from 1 species
UACGUAGGGUGCGAGCGUUAAUCGGAAUUACUGGGCGUAAAGUGUGCGCAGGUGGCCGCGCAAGUCGAGUGUGAAAUCCCCGGGCUUAACCUGGGAAUUGCGUUGGAGACUGCAAGGCUGGAGUCUGGCAGAGGGGGGGUAGAAUUCCACGUGUAGCAGUGAAAUGCGUAGAGAUGUGGAGGAACACCGAUGGCGAAGGCAGCCCCCCUGGGUCAAAACUGACGCUCAUGCACGAAAGCGUGGGGAGCAAACAGG